UGAACAGCAUGUGCUGAGCAAAAGGAAACU
rnacentral:piRNA from 1 species